CAACGCUGGCGGCAGGCCUAACACAUGCAAGUCGAGCGGCAGCACGGGGAGCUUGCUCCCUGGUGGCGAGCGGCGGACGGGUGAGUAAUGCAUGGGAAUCUGCCCGGUAGAGGGGGAUAACGUGUGGAAACGCACGCUAAUACCGCAUACGUCCUACGGGAGAAAGGAGGGGAUCUUCGGACCUUCCGCUAUCGGAUGAGCCCAUGUCGGAUUAGCUAGUUGGUAGGGUAAAGGCCUACCAAGGCAACGGAUCCGUAGCUGGUCUGAGAGGAUGAUCAGCCACACUGGGACUGAGACACGGCCCAGACUCCUACGGGGG
rnacentral:rRNA from 1 species